GUGGGGAAUAUUGGACAAUGGGCGAAAGCCUGAUCCAGUCAUGCCGCGUGUGUGAAGAAGGUCUUCGGAUUGUAAAGCACUUUAAGUUGGGAGGAAGGGCAGUAAGUUAAUACCUUGCUGUUUUGACGUUACCAACAGAAUAAGCACCGGCUAACUUCGUGCCAGCAGCCGCGGUAAUACGAAGGGUGCAAGCGUUAAUCGGAAUUACUGGGCGUACGCGCGCGUAGGUGGUUCAUGAAGUUAAAGGUGAAAUCCCCGGGCUAAACCUGGGAACUGCCUCCAAAACUAAUGGGCUAGAGUACGGUAGAGGGUAGUGGAAUGUCCUGUGUAGCGGUGAAAUGCGUAGAUAUAGGAAGGAACACCAGUGGCGAAGGCGACUACCUGGACUGAUACUGACACUGAGGUGCGAAAGCGUGGGGAGCAAACAGGAUUAGAUACCCUUGUAGUCC
rnacentral:rRNA from 1 species